rnacentral:rRNA from 1 species
AUUGAACGCUGGCGGCAUGCCUUACACAUGCAAGUCGAACGGCAGCACGGGAGCAAUCCUGGUGGCGAGUGGCGAACGGGUGAGUAAUAUAUCGGAACGUGCCCAGUCGUGGGGGAUAACGCAGCGAAAGCUGUGCUAAUACCGCAUACGAUCUACGGAUGAAAGCGGGGGAUCGCAAGCCCUCGCGCGAUUGGAGCGGCCGAUAUCAGAUUAGCUAGUUGGUGGGGUAAAGGCCCACCAAGGCGACGAUCUGUAGCUGGCCUGAGAGGACGACCAGCAACACUGGAACUGAGACACGGUCCAGACUCCUACGGGAGGAAGCAGUGGGGAAUUUUGGACAAUGGGCGCAAGCCUGAUCCAGCAAUGCCGCGUGCAGGAUGAAGGCCUUCGGGUUGUAAACUGCUUUUGUACGGAACGAAACGACCCUUUCUAAUACAGGGGGCUAAUGACGGUACCGUAAGAAUAAGCACCGGCUAACUACGUGCCAGCCGCCGCGGUAA